rnacentral:lncRNA from 1 species
CCGGGCGGGGGGCUGACACCUUCUUUUCAGUUUUAUGAAAAUAAUUAGAUGUUUUAGGAACAUGAAAUUACUAGCUUUCCAGCUAAAAUGUUCUCAAAUCUACAAAAUACAGAGCUACAUAAACAUGAAACCACUUUUGAUAACGUCAGUCAUAAAGACUUGAACUCAGACUUCUCUCUCUUUUUUUUUUAUUUAAUUAGAUCUUGGGUUCAGAGUUGAAUUAAUGAUUAUCCUCAGUUCACGACCCACUAAGACCUUACCAGGUCCCUCUUUUGUCUCAUUUAAUUUUUAUUUUCCCCUUUGUUCUUCAUCUCUACUCUUCUUCCUUCCCUAGCUAUCCAACACACACACACACACACACACACACACACGCGCGCGCGCGCGCGCGCCCUUAGUUAAAAAUUGUAUUGGUCAUUGAGUCACUAGAUUCAGUAUGUUUGUUCUCUUCACUUGGCAAUUUGUUAGAAUGGCUAACUUAGUAACUUAAUAGUUAAAUAAGCAAAUCAGCUUAGUCCGCUUCCUGUUUGUUUAAAACCAUCCUGCAUGUCUUCACAAUUAACUUCUUUGUGCGUUUCAUGGUUUCCUGUGUUCUCAAAAACAAGUUAAUGAUAUACAGUAACGUAUAUCAUUUGAAAAAGCAGUUUCUUUUUCAAAAUAAGAAGCCCAUUCUUCCUUAUUCAAGAUUGUUACAACUCUUAUUCGAGAUUCGAGAUUGUUACAACUCUGCCUCAUGAGAGGGGAGAAGCGCCUGUCACCCUGACCCGCCCCGGCCAGGCUGGCUGGGUUGCAGGUGGAAGUGGGUAGGACUGUGUUUCACGCUGAGUAGGUUGUGUGCAAAACACACUUUUGACUCCAUAAAAGCAUUUUCUUUUUUGGGUGUUCGGCGGGUGGACAGAGUGUAGUGGUACAAUCUCGGCUCGUUACAACCUCCGCCUCCCAGGCUCAGGUGACCCUCCCACCUCAGCCACCCAAGGAGCUGGGGCCACAGGUAAAAGCCACCACGCCUGGCUAAUUUUUGUAUUUUUUGUAGAGAUGCGGUUUUGCUGUGUUGCCCAGGCUGGUCUUGAACUCCGGCUCAAGCAAUCUGCCCGCAUCGGCCUCCUAAGGUGCUUACAGGUACCGUUCCCCAGCACACCCCACCCCACUCAGCCGCUCAGCCUCCCUCAGUUACCCAGACCGCACAGACGUCUCAACUGCAGCAACCUUGGCAGGCAGCAGCAACCAGUUUGGCAGCUCUGUCCUGGGCCAGUACAUCUCUGACUUCAGCGUCCGGGCACUCGUGGACUUGCAGUACAUCAAGGUGAGUGCCUCACUGCCCUGUCUGGGCAGUGCUAUCUUCUGCUCAGGAAUCAGCUACUACUUUCAUCCACCAAACCCAGCAUGGUGGGCCCAAACCCGAGAUGCCUUUUUCUUCUGGAGAUGGGGUCUUGCUCUGUCGCCCAGGCUGGAAUGCAGUGGUGUGAUCAUAGCCCACUUCAGCCUUGAACUCUUGGGUUCAAGGAUUCCUCCCACCUCAGCCUCCUGAGUAGCUGGGACUACAGGUGUGCAUGUGGCUUCGGGUUUUUUUUUUUUUUCCCCUUAUAGAGAUGGGGUCUCACUGUGUUGCCCAAGUUGGCUUGAGACUCCUGGGCUCAAGCGAUUUGCCCGCCUCAGCCUCCUGAAGUGCUGGGAUUACAGGUGUGAGCCACUGUGCCCAGCCCUGAGAUGCUUUCUUCUCUUGUUCGUGCACCUUGUUCUUUGUAAGGGCUUCCAGAGACGCUGACUGGUCAUGUUCUCUCUCAACUCACAGCCUCAAUCCUGGCCCUGUUUCUCCAGGCCUGGUGAUA